rnacentral:rRNA from 1 species
GUCAAGUAAGAAUACCCGCUGAACUCAAGCAUAUCAAUAAGCGGAGGAAAAGAAACUAACAAGGAUUCCCUUAGUAACGGCGAGUGAACCGGGAAGAGCUCAAAUUUAAAAUCGUCUUAGGUUUUACCUGGGCGAGUUGUAAUUUGAAGAAAGUGUUUGGACAUUUGGGUUUGAUCUAAAUCCUUUGGGAUGAGGUAUCAUAGAGGGUGAGAAUCCCGUUCAUGACUAAACCUCGGAUGUCAUUUAAUUCACUUUCCAAGAGUCGAGUUGUUUGGGAUUGCAGCUCAAAAUGGGUGGUAAAUUUCACCUAAGGCUAAAUAUAUGCAAGAGACCGAUAGCGAACAAGUACCGUGAGGGAAAGAUGAAAAGAACUUUGAAAAGAGAGUUAAAUAGUACGUGAAAUUGUUGAAAGGGAGACGAUUAAAGUCAGUCAUGCUAGUAAGGAAUCAACAUGGUGGUUUUUCUUCCGUGUGCACUUUCUUGCCUUGCAGGUUAGCAUCAAUUUUGGUUGUCAUCAAAUAAUCGAGGAAAUGUGUCUUCUCUUCGGAGGAGUGUUUAUAGACCUUGGUAGAUGUGGCGACUGGGAUUGAGGAUUGCAGUGAAUGCCUUUUGGCUAGUCACCUGGCUUCUGACGGUCACCCCGCUUUCGAUAGCUUGCUGACGAUCGUGGGACUCGACAGUCUAGAUGUUAGAUUGAUCUUAAAUUCACUAAGGAUGCUGACGUAAUGGCUUUAAACGACCCGUCUUGAAACACGGACCAAGGAGUCUAACAUGUGUGCGAGUGUU